UACAGUCUGGUGGCGAUUCCAGAACAGGGUAAGGAGGCUCCUUAUAGGGGGGCUGAGAAGAGCAGGAAAUAGACAGACUGACAGAGACUGAGACACAGGAGAGAAAGGACAAGGUUAAGGUGAUGACAUUCGGUCUCCCUGUGGUCAUGGACGUGCCAAUAGUGAAGGUGAGACGCUGGUCAAAUGCCUUUCGGAACAGAGUCAGCACCUUGUUGCCCUCAGGGCAGUCCGGGAGAUUUCCAUUCACCGCCUGAAAACACUCCUGAUGUUACUCCCACUGUAUAACCUGUUCCAUUUGUCUAUUACUCUUCUUUGGAGCUUCCUUGCCCCUCUGUAAACCAGAAUUGGAUACUACUCUUCACCAGCAGAAAGAUCCCGUAAGGUGCCUCCACAGGCUGCCAUUCUGGACAGGACGAACGACACUGCCCCCAGGAUGAAAGGGACUCAGGGUGGGGGGGGGUCCCCAUUGACAAAUACCAAUGCCUCCUACUUCAGGUUCCUUCUAAACCCUGUGUUCCUUCUAUUCUCUCAAAGCCCCAACCCCCAACCCUCUCCCAAACUCAUUUUCAAUCUCCCCUAUCUUUCAAACCCCAGCACCCACUGAAGAGCAAGAAAGCUUCAGUAAACUUUAUCAUCAUCUAAGCCAAACAUCAGUGCUGGCUCUCCUUUCAUUUCUCCCAUGAUCACAGAAACAAUCUGCCCCUCCCCACUCUGGAUGACAAAUGGGUUCUUUACAAGGGAGGGAGAAUUUUUGACCCUCCUUUU